rnacentral:rRNA from 1 species
CCUACGGGAGGCAGCAGUGAGGAAUAUUGGUCAAUGGGCGAGAGCCUGAACCAGCCAAGUCGCGUGAGGGAGUACUGCCCUAUGGGUUGUAAACCUCUUUUGUCGGGGAGCAAAAGCCGGACGUGUCCGGCUGUGAGAGUACCCGAAGAAAAAGCAUCGGCUAACUCCGUGCCAGCAGCCGCGGUAAUACGGAGGAUGCGAGCGUUAUCCGGAUUUAUUGGGUUUAAAGGGUUCGCAGGCGGAUUUUUACGUCAGCGGUAAAAUCGUGGGGCUCAACCCCAUCCAGCCGUUGAAACUGGGGAUCUAGAGUGUGCGAGAGGUAUGCGGAAUGCGUGGUGUAGCGGUGAAAUGCAUAGAUAUCACGCAGAACCCCGAUUGCGAAGGCAGCAUACCGGUGCACAACUGACGCUCAGGCACGAAAGCGUGGGUAUCGAACAGGAUUAGAUACCCGUGUAGUC